CUUGGCCUGUUCACUGCAUUUCUGAGUUUCCCUGAGUUUGUCAUUUUUGGUGCCUGCAGGUACUGGUAGCUCUUGCUUGUGACCUGGAGCUGGACACUCUGCCUUGCUGUGCCGAGACGCACAAGUGGGCCUGGUUCCGGAGGUACUGCAUGGCCUCCCGUGUUGCUGUGGCCCUUGACAAAAGAACACCGUUGCCCCGUCUGUUUCUUGAUGAGGUGGCUAAGAAAAUUCGUGAAUUAAUGGCAGACAGCGAAAACAUGGAUGUUCUGCAUGAGAGCCAUGACAUUUUUAAAAGAGAGCAAGACGAACAACUUGUGCAGUGG
rnacentral:lncRNA from 1 species